GGCCGUCGGGACUUGUAGUUCUCCGGCUCCCUCAAGGCCCGCGCAGCCGCCUCCAGAGCGACUCUUCAGAAACUACGACUUCCGGCGACUCAGAUGUCGCGGGACGGGAUUGGCAACUUAAGAAUCAGUCUAUGUAGCAGGUAGGAGGCUGAUUGGCUCUGUGCAUCCGUCACUCACAGGUUUAAUAGUCUCUUCAAAAGGGAGGAUGGCCCCAAAAAGAAAUGCUGUGGCGCUAUUGGUGGAAUCAAGGAGUAGACAGCGGAGCGUAUCAGCAGCGGGGGUGGAGGAUGGUACUUCCGCUGGGAUUGCCCAAUCGCCGAGGUGGGGCAGUUUCUAUAAAAGCUUGAACCUCAGCCGUCCUCGCUCUUUUGGGAUAAACUUCAGGGCGGAAGAGCAUUGCCUCCGUGUGCUACGCUUGGAGAGGACCUGAGCACCGAGUGAAGCUGAGGGGGUCGCCCAAACCCGUAGGCCGGCAUAGCCCCGGGGUCGUGGUCCUCGGCACUGUCACAUGUUCCUUCCGCGCUCACCUCCCCAGUUCCGGCGGGGAAGUCCGAACCUCCAGACCUGCAGCUUCCCACAGUGCCGUUGAUGGGCUGGUUGGAGACCUUGAAUGUGAAUCAGCGUCAGUCAGUCCAGGGGACCUGGUGGUAAGUAAGGCUGGAGAAGUACUGUGAGAAGCAAAUGAUCUUUUCAUACAUCUUUCAUUCCAAGAUGUAACCCAGACAUGCGGAAGGCAUUUUGUGACUUAACUUGAGACUAACAGUCCACAUCUGCCCGAAGUGCUUAGCAAUAAAAGCAAAAGUGGUAUGAGUUGA